AUUGAACGCUGGCGGCAGGCCUAACACAUGCAAGUCGAACGAGUGGCGGACGGGUGAGUAAUGUAUGGGCAACUGCCCGAUGGAGGGGGAUAACUACUGGAAACGGUAGCUAAUACCGCAUACCAUCGGAUGUGCCCAGAUGGGAUUAGCUAGUAGGUGGGGUAAAGGCUCACCUAGGCGACGAUCCCUAGCUGGUCUGAGAGGAUGACCAGCCACACUGGAACUGAGACACGGUCCAGACUCCUACGGGAGGAAGCAGUGGGGAAUAUGGCACAAUGGGCGCAAGCCUGAUGCAGCCAUGCCGGGUGUAUGAAGAAGGCCUUAGGGUUGUAAAGUACUUUCAGCGGGGAGGCGUUACUCGCAGAAGAAGCACCGGCUAACUCCGUGCCAGCAGCCGCGGUAAUAC
rnacentral:rRNA from 1 species